rnacentral:rRNA from 1 species
GUCUACAGCCAUACCACCCUGAACACGCCCUAUCUCAUCUGAUCUCCAAAACUAAGCAGGGUCGGGCCUGGUUAGUACUUGGAUGGGAGAAAAAUAAAAGGGUGUGGGGA